CCCAGGUUCAGCCCUUGUGAAAAAGCCCCCAGUCCAUCUUGGACAGAGGCAGAUAUGGAACUUCUCCCUUGCUGAUGCCCCUGCUAUUGUUUCCUUAAGCACAUUGAAACUCAAGACAACACAUCAGACCUUUUCAGAGACUCAGAAACAAAAAAUAAAUAAAUAAAUAGUGGACUGAUGUCUGAUUUUCAAGUAAGCAUUAAGGAUUACACAUUUAACAUGCUUCUCCAGGAAAAUCGACCUUGGUUGUUGGGACUCAGCAUCAUAUCAAAGAAUAUUGGGAUUGUGGCUUUUCGUAGCUCAACUUCUGGAAUAAGAGUCAUCUCCAAGAUUGGUCCAACCAUCCCCGGAAUAAAACAGAUUUUAUUUUGAC